GUUUAUAGCACCGCCCCGUGCAUGCUGGAGCCUGUGGGUAGCACGUGGCGUUGAGUGUGGAGGUGUUGGAGCGGCGUUUGCAUCGAGUUUUGGAGCCAUUCUGGAAAUUGCUUGCAAGUUGUUUUGGCACUUUUUGGUGCAUUUCUCAAGGUGUGGAAAGGUAGGGAGCUGAGUUUCGUCGUUUGCAUGUCUUUUAUUGUGUGUUCUGCAUUGUGGGUUGGUUUCCAUGCCAGCUCAUUUUGACUUUUUUCUGACCUCCAG